UAAGGAAUAUUGGUCAAUGGAGGCAACUCUGAACCAGCCAUGCCGCGUGCAGGAAGAAGGCCCUAUGGGUCGUAAACUGCUUUUGAACAAGAGAAAACCCCGGUACGUGUACUGGGUUGAUAGUAUUGUUAGAAUAAGCAUCGGCUAACUUCGUGCCAGCAGCCGCGGUAAGACGAAGGAUGCAAGCGUUAUCCGGAUUCAUUGGGUUUAAAGGGUGCGUAGGCGGACUGAUAAGUCAGUGGUGAAAUCUCUCGGCUUAACCGAGAAACUGCCAUUGAUACUGUUAGUCUAGAGUACAGAUGAUGUGGGCGGAAUAUGACAUGUAGUGGUGAAAUACUUAGAUAUGUCAUAGAUCACCGAUUGCGAAGGCAGCUCACAAAACUGUAACUGACGCUGAGGCACGAAAGUGCGGGGAUCAAACAGGAUUAGAUACCCACGUAGUCCCUGAGCGGGCUGGCAAGGCGCAU
rnacentral:rRNA from 1 species